GGCGUAGACGGAGUGGCAAGUCUGAUGUGAAAACCCGGGGCUCAACCCCGGGACUGCAUUGGAAACUGUCAAUCUAGAGUACCGGAGAGGUAAGCGGAAUUCCUAGUGUAGCGGUGAAAUGCGUAGAUAUUAGGAGGAACACCAGUGGCGAAGGCGGCUUAUUGGACGGUAACUGACGUUGAGGCUCGAAAGCGUGGGGAGCAAACA
rnacentral:rRNA from 1 species